AUGCUUGCUCUGGCAGCACAUAUACUGAAAAAUUGGGACUCUACAGAGAAUAUUAGCCUGGCGCCUGCAGAAGGAUGACACACAAAUUUGUGAAGCAUUCCAUAUUAAA
ensembl:snRNA U6 U6 spliceosomal RNA